GGUUCAUUCUCUUCCUUAUCAUUUGCUAUGUACAUUGUGUAUAGUAUCUAGGUGUGUCUAGGCCUAUAUCUCACAUCGCUCUCAUGGGUUACGGACUCCUUCCUCUUUUCUGAUUAUUCUCCAUCCGUCUUCAGUUUGUAUAUAUGCCAAGCUGAAAGGCCUAGCUAAUCAUGUUGCUAGGACCACAGUUAUAAUUGUAAUGUAUUAGGCACAGUGAUGUGAAAAUGAGCUGUAUUUUAUGGCGGAAGGAAAGGAGAGGUGCAGCUCUUAGACAAGUUCAGUUUCAGCACCUCGCUACAGCCUCGCACAGGGCUGUUCUAUGUUUCUGACUUCGAAUAUUGGAAAACAACCAUAGUAAACGUCGGCGGGGAAAGGGGAGGGGCGGUCGCGUAGUGUUUGUUUAUGUUAAUAGAGUGCAACACUUUACCUGGCUUACGUCGCCCUAGGCUUGAAUAGCUGAAGAGCCAACGUAUGGACAGAUUCCUAACAGGCUAGCUAGCUUUAAGGUCACUUAUAGAUGACUUGCACAAUGCGCUGGAGUUAAGGAGACUGGUGUUCUUCAUCCCUGGGCCUGUGUCCCUAACUCUCACCCCCAAUCUGUACUGCCAGAACCCACCAUGAACACAUCCCUGUCUUCAUAUUCAGGACCUGACAGAACCAGGCUGGCAGAGGAGAGCUGCAGGUCUACACAAGCCAGCAGAAUAGAACCCAGGAAACACGGGAGAGGGCCUCAAACACACUAUGUGCUGGAGAUCACCCUAUGAAUGGCAGACAAGCUCCAGGUGACCCACGUUAUGCUGUGGGAGUGCCAUCCCAUACCCUCCUUCUGCACUGCCAGAAAACACAUCCUGGGACAUGCUGCCCCCUCUCAAUUGAACCAGAUCAGUAGUCAAAGCUCUCUGUCUUCCACCUGUGUUUGUGUUUUUAUUUGCCGAUUUGGGACAGGUGGAGCUGAUUGGGUCAUUAAGGUGACAGGUUGCACCUGGGUUUGGGACCAACUAGAAGGUAAAAGUUUCUGGUGCCCAGUCCUGGCUCUCUCUCCCCUGACAAGGACCAUGUUGCUAUGUGAUUUGGUUGAUUGGGUUUUGAUUAGGUGCACCCCUCCACACUUAGACAUUUUACAGUCAUCCAGGCAUCUCCACUCGUAUGUCUACAUUCAAACUUUACAUGUCAGUUUUCCUUUUUAGUUUUGUACUUUGUUACUUUUUUAAUAAACAUUUGUUACUCCUUUAAUUCCAAUGUGUGGAAUCCCUUGAUUGUCACCUUCUAAGAGCCAGGUUUUGACAAUAUAACCUUCAACAUGCAUCCAAUCCAUUUUCCUUUUAGUGAAGUGAUCACUGAUUAGGAUUGGAUUUAGAGUUUGUGUAGAUAAUAUACAUAAGCUCAACAUAUGUAGAUGUACUGGUUAUCUAAGUACCAGUUCAUUUGACUAGUUAUGUUAUUCAGGCAGGAUAUGUCUGUAAUGGGCAACAGUUAUAUUUUACCCCACUUUGAUGCAGGUACAAAUGGAGUCCCAAAGCAUUGACAGUCUCAUUGCUGGUUUAACUAUUUAUGCUUGUUUAGAGGAUGAAGUCAACCAUUGAAUCAAACCAACAAUGUUAAGGUACUCCAUGAUUUCCAUAUCAACAAUUCCCCAUGUUUCACAUACCCAUGCAAUACUGCUGGAACUAACAGUAAUGGAUUAUUUUCAAGUAAAAGUGUAAGAAACUGGUGACUCACUGACAAUUCAUAAUUAUUCAGCCCUCAAUCCUUUAUUAAACACUGGAGAUAGGAAAGUAAGUCUGAGCUGUUUGUUAGGUGUGAUUCAGAAAUGUAAUGACAUUAUACACACACAUACUAGGAUUAUACAGGAACAUUUUCUAGACUAUCUAGACCAUGUUUUUGUCAAUUAAUAUUUUCGUCUUCGAUUA